GUUUUUGUGUGCAGCAGACUCUUGCCUGAAAUGAAAGUUUUGGCAGAUGCACAUGUUAGGGCCUAGUGGCGGAGUUAAUGCUUGUUUGCGUGAAAUCGCUGCCUGGAAUCUACCUAUGGAACCUAUAACCUACAACCAAGUGCCAAUGAGGACUGCUCUUCAGUUGGUAAAGUGGCAGCUUCGGUAGGCAGUGAGAGGAUAGUGCCAGGUUGCAGGACGCUGAACGAGGACCCUGUACCAGCACCCAGCGCCAGCCGCCGAGCAGCACAAACGCACAACGUCAAGG